UAUAAGAUUUUUUUUAUUUUUUCGUGUUGAACUUUUGAUCAUUCGUUUUGUUUGAAAAAUUUGUAAAAAAUUUUAAAAAAAUUAGUCACGCAUAAAGUACUAUUCAUGUUUUAUCAUCUAGUAAGCACAAAAAUAUUAAUUGUAAUUUUUUUUCAAAUAAGACGAAUGGUCAAAUGUUGGACACGAAAAAAC
rfam:Oryza brachyantha chromosome 1, whole genome shotgun sequence.